rnacentral:rRNA from 1 species
AUACGGAGGGUCCGAGCGUUAAUCGGAAUUACUGGGCGUAAAGCGCGCGUAGGCGGCUAUAUAAGUCAGAUGUGAAAUCCCUGGGCUCAACCUAGGAACUGCAUUUGAAACUGUAUGGCUAGAGUAUGGUAGAGGUGAGUGGAAUUUCAGGUGUAGCGGUGAAAUGCGUAGAGAUCUGAAGGAACAUCAGUGGCGAAGGCGACUCACUGGGCCAUUACUGACGCUGAGGUGCGAAAGCGUGGGUAGCAAACAGGAUUAGAAACCCUAGUAGUCC